CUUCGCCCCCUCGCUCGAAAUUAGGGAUGUAUGGAGUUUUUCCAUCGGCUUUAGGGCCUUCAUGUGCCCAGAUGGUUCAAGGAUGGAGGGAUUUCUGUUGGGAGAUGCUGCAGCCAUUGGAGGUUAAUAUUUCUACCUUGGAAGCUCGAUUUCAAGAUCUGGUGGUGCUCUACAAGGAGGAGAUUCAACGAAUGGAGAAGAGGUGGAAAGUGGCUAUUGUAGGUAAGUUUUUGGAUCCGAGGUUGCCCCUUGAUUUCAUCUAGCGGGAGAUGAAGAACAUAUAGCAGAUUCAAGGGGAGUUUCAGGUUCAACAUCUCCUUCCCAAAGAAUUUGCUAUACAUCUGCUCUCUUAUGUACACCCGAUCAUGUGUCGGCAAUUGCUCUAUGCUUUCGCUAAUGUGGCUGUUCCAAGGAAUUUGAUAUAUUUGGUUUCAGACAGAGUUUUUUA